ensembl:lncRNA
UGGAUGGGCUAUUUACUGAUGGGCUAUGUACUGGUGCAGUGAUCUGUGAGCUGCUCUGACAGCUGGUGCUUAAAGUUAGUAAGGGAGAUAUGUCUCCAGCUUAAGUGAUUAUUUUUUUUGCAAUUCAUUCCCGUAAUUGGCAAGCAGAGAACUGGAAGGGAAAGCGGCCAAAGGAGAAACUGGCUUUGGGGGUGACCAGUGAAAUAUGACUGCUGGAGCGGGUGCUACGGGUGGGUGCUGCUUUCCUUUAAUUUCUUAAGCGAUUGAACAUUAGCUAGCAGGACGGAAGGCAAAGGCAGAUUAGCCACUCGUCAUCUGAUCCUCACAAGGCACCCUGAUCUUUUCCCGCUAAAUCUCAGUUUCCUUCUCCAGGGAAUGACGGGGAUCUGGGCCUGGUCGGGUGUCUGUAGUAUAUCCCUCCCGUCCAACUCAUUGAAGAAACACUCUUAGUCUAAUCUGAGAUGGGUGGACCGAAAACCCAGUGACAACGCUUGGGUCUGCAGCUGUCAUUUUCCGUUGAGCAAGAGAAAUGGCCCUGUAUUUACCAGAGAAGGUAGCUCAUCCACCAUGGCAGAAGAGGAAGAUCCAGACCUAUCCACCAUGGCAGACAAUGAAGUUCGAGGCCCCUCGGCCGCUGGAGAAUG